rnacentral:rRNA from 1 species
UACGAAGGUGGCAAGCGUUGUUCGGAUUUACUGGGCGUAAAGGGAGCGUAGGUGGUUAGGUAAGCCCUCCGGGAAAUCUUCAGGCUUAACCUGAAAAGGUCGGGGGGGACUGCCUAGCUAGAGGGCGGGAGAGGAGCGCGGAAUUCCCGGUGUAGCAGCGAAAUGCGUAGAGAUCGGGAGGAACACCAGUGGCGAAGGCGACUACCUGGACCAGCACUGACACUGAGGCACGAAAGCGUGGGGAGCAAACAGG